rnacentral:rRNA from 1 species
AGCGAACGCUGGCGGCAGGCCUAACACAUGCAAGUCGAGCGCCCAGCAAUGGGAGCGGCAGACGGGUGAGUAACGCGUGGGGAUGUGCCCAAUGGUGCGGAAUAACCCAGGGAAACUUGGAUUAAUACCGCAUGUGCCCUUCGGGGGAAAGAUUUAUCGCCAUUGGAUCAACCCACGUCUGAUUAGCUAGUUGGUGAGGUAAAGGCUCACCAAGGCGACGAUCAGUAGCUGGUCUGAGAGGAUGAUCAGCCACACUGGGACUGAGACACGGCCCAGACUCCUACGGGAGGCAGCAGUGGGGAAUAUUGGACAAUGGGCGCAAGCCUGAUCCAGCCACGCCGCGUGAGUGAUGAAGGCCUUAGGGUUGUAAAGCUCUUUCGCCGGUGAAGAUAAUGACGGUAACCGGAGAAGAAGCCCCGGUUAACUUCGUGCCAGCCGCCGCAGUAA